rnacentral:rRNA from 1 species
AUUUAAUUCAACAUCGAGGUCAUAAACUUAACUAUUAAUAAGAACUUGUUAGUUAAAUAAUGCUGUUAUCCCUAGAGUAACUUUACUUAAUUUACUUUCAUUUUUUAAAAAUCUUCAUCUUCAAAUAUUACCCCAAUUAAAAAUUAUUUAAAAUUCAUAAGCUUCUAGGGUCUUCUCGUCCCAAAAUUUUAUAAAAGCAUUUUUACCUUUAAUUUAAAUUCAAUUUUUAACUAAAUAAAACUUUCUCUUUAAGUUUUAACCCUUCAUUCCAGUUUUCAAUUAAAAAA